UACGGGAGGCAGCANUGGGGAAUUUUCCGCAAUGGGCGAAAGCCUGACGGAGCAAUACCGCGUGAGGGAGGAAGGCUCUUGGGUUGUAAACCUCUUUUCUCANGGAAGAAGUUCUGACGGUACCUGANGAAUCAGCAUCGGCUAACUCCGUGCCAGCAGCCGCGGUAAUACNCGAGGAUGCAAGCGUUAUCCGGAAUGAUUGGGCGUAAAGCGUCCGCAGGUGGCACUCCAAGUCUGCUGUCAAAGGUCGGNGCUCAACUCCGAAC
rnacentral:rRNA from 1 species